rnacentral:rRNA from 1 species
AUGGGCGGCGGCGGCUGCCACUGCGGCUCUUACCUAGUAUCCAAAAGGAAGGACGGCAAACUAAAUACGCCACAAAAGGAGAUAAUAAUGGACAAAAUCUCUAAGAUAGGGCCCGAAUUACCUUUGCUCGUGCUGAAGAUGACAAAAAAUGGUAUACUGAAUCCAAACCUGCAUAUCUGCGACGCAUAUGUUUCGAGGUGUCUCCAGUAUUUCAUCGACGCAUAUGUUUCGAGGCGUCUCCCGCACGAACAAGAGGGCGACCAAAUAAUACCUCUCCCGCACGAACAAGAGGGCGACCAAAUGAUACCUCUCAAAGUUUUGCUAGAAGGGAGCAUAUAUCAAAAAGACUGGAAGCAAUUGAUCAAAGAUGCCGGGAUGGAGGCGGGAGACAUCUGCCUCUUCCAAGUUGUAGACAGGGGCAGCAGCGAGCUCACGAUGAUGGUCCAUAUGAUCCGCACGUCGGAAAUGCUGGAAAGCACCAUCGUCGAGGCCAGCGAGCCUCGCGCGGAGGAGACACGCUUGGCCCGGCGGGAGGAUACGUCGGCAAGCCUCGCGCUGAGCCCUCCGGAGGGAGCGACAGCGACAGCCGCCCCCAUCUGCAUGUGA